rnacentral:rRNA from 1 species
GAUGAACGCUGGCGGCGUGCCUAACACAUGCAAGUCGAGCGAGAUGUAUAUGGACGAAACUUCGGUCUAGGAAAUAUAUUGACAGCGGCGGACAGGUGAGUAACGCGUAGGCAACCUGCCCUUAACACAGGGAUAGCCUCGGGAAACCGGGAUUAAAACCUGAUAAUGCCAAAUAGUCACAUGGCUGUUUGGCCAAAGAUUUAUCGGUUAAGGAUGGGCCUGCGUCUGAUUAGUUUGUUGGUGGGGUAACGGCCUACCAAGACUACGAUCAGUAGCCGACCUGAGAGGGUGAUCGGCCACAUUGGAACUGAGACACGGUCCAAACUCCUACGGGAGGCAGCAGUGGGGAAUAUUGCACAAUGGGCGAAAGCCUGAUGCAGCAACGCCGCGUGAGCGAUGAAGGCCUUUGGGUCGUAAAGCUCUGUCCUUGGGGAAGAAACAAAUGACGGUACCCAAGGAGGAAGCCCCGGCUAACUACGUGCCAGCCGCCGCGGUAACAC